rnacentral:tRNA from 1 species
GGUAAGAUGGCUGAGUGCUUAGGCGGUGGGCUGUAGACCCAUAAACAGGGGUUUAAGUCCCCUUCUUAUCA